CGACGACUUACAAGUGCGGCGCGGGCUUUGAUAACGCACAGAUACAAAAGGCAGAACGCAUCGACAACUUGCUGGAUAGCAUCAACUGAAGCUGAAUGGCAUCUUGGCUAAUUUUCUUCGUACCUGUCCUGGCGGCAACGCUUACAAGUCUCGAAAGAACAGAGGGUCUCCACCUGGGCGCCCGUCGUAGUAAUUCAUGGCUAGGGAGACUGUAUUCCGGAACAGAGGAUCCCAGCUGUUCGUACACUAAAUGCGACCCGCUGCAUGAUGUUGAAGGAGCCUUGUGUCCCGUUUGGUGCGUGUGUGAGGAAGCGUCAAUCGGAUAUGGUGUCUGCAUUGAUCCUCUCUGAAAAUGUCUGAACAAGCAAGCUAAUAAAGAAAUGUUCCAAAUAAUA